rnacentral:rRNA from 1 species
GAUGAACGCUGGCGGCGUGCCUAAUACAUGCAAGUCGAACGCACAGCGAAAGGUGCUUGCACCUUUCAAGUGAGUGGCGAACGGGUGAGUAAUACGUGGGCAACCUGCCUCAAGGCUGGGGAUAACAUUUGGAAACAGAUGCUAAUACCGAAUAAAACUCAGUGUCGCAUGACACAAAGUUAAAAGGCGCUUUGGCGUCACCUAGAGAUGGAUCCGCGGUG